rnacentral:rRNA from 1 species
UACGUAGGGUGCGAGCGUUGUCCGGAUUUAUUGGGCGUAAAGAGCUCGUAGGUGGUCUGUUGCGUCGGUUGUGAAAACCCGGGGCUUAACUCCGGGCCUGCAGUCGAUACGGGCAGACUAGAGUUCGGCAGGGGAGACUGGAAUUCCUGGUGUAGCGGUGAAAUGCGCAGAUAUCAGGAGGAACACCGGUGGCGAAGGCGGGUCUCUGGGCCGAUACUGACACUGAGGAGCGAAAGCGUGGGGAGCGAAC